GAUGAAGAACGCAGUGAAAUGCGAUACUUGGUGUGAAUUGCAGAAUCCCGUGAACCUUCGAGUCUUUGAACGCAAGUUGCGCCCGAAGCCAUCAGGUUGAGGGCACGUCUGCCUGGGCGUCACAUAUCGUUGCCCAAUGCCUAUUGCAGUGCAAUAGGAAUUUCUAGGGCGAAUGAUGGCUUCCCGUGAGCGUUGUUGCCUCGCGGUUGGUUGAAAAUCGAGUCCUUGGUAGGGUGUGCCAUGGUAGAUGGUGGUCGAGUUAGAACGAUACCGAUCAUGUGCAUGCUCCCCAAAAUAUGGCCUCUAUGACCCACACGCGUCUUUUGACGCUCAUGACGAGACCUCAGGUCAGGCGGGGCUACCCGCUGAAUUUAAGCAUAUCAAUAAGCGGAGGA
rnacentral:misc_RNA from 1 species